GCAUGUCCUGUGGUCAGAAUAAAUUUUGGGUCUAAAGUUGGUGUCUCUAUCAUUCCAUUUGGGUUGCUCUCGGCUCCAGGAGAUGACUUCUUCAGGUCCAUAUCACUGAGGCUGUGAGUCUCAGCUAAGGAAACACCCAUGAUUCAUGGGCAUCUCUUACCCCAGCUCUCUGCCUCUUUCUGGAUGUGACCUCUACCUCCCCACCCCAUCCAUCUAGACUGCUGUGUCUGGCCUCAGUAGCAGAGGAUGUGAUCACAGAGACUGGAUAUGCAAGAGAACCCGGGGCCGAUCCCCAGCUCCCGAGUGACAGCUCACAAGUGGCUGUAAUUUCCGCAUCACGGAAUCUAACACCCUCUUCAACCUCCUGGACACUAGGCAUGGAUGUGCUGCACACGUGAACAAGCAGAAAUCAAAAAGUGGAGUAAAGACUACUCCUCUUCCAAAAUCAUAGGCCCUGGGUGCACAGAACUGACCAAAUGGUAGAGAAAGCAGAGACUUUGCACCUUGUGAAAGAGCACUUUGGGAUCCUUAAUUAGCUAUUUAUUAUCAGAACUUUCUUCUGACCCAGAGUCAUUCUCAGUGCUGCCUUGACUUCUUGGUUCCUUAAGCUAUAGAUGAUGGGGUUCAGCAUGGAUGUCACUGUGGUAUGGAAGAUGACCAAGAAUUUAUCAACUCCUUGUGGGUGGUUAGAUUUGGGUCUCAAGUAGUUUUGGCCCAACCCUACAAGGCAACCUAUUCCCCAUGAAACAAUUGCCAAAUGGGCGCAUACCUCACGACUCAUUUGGGUUGCAUAGUGAAGCGGGGCCAUACAGUGUCCAAAGGCCAUGACUGCCAAUAGGAAGCACUCAGUUAUACCAAAAAGUGUGAAGAACAACAUCUGUGGGGCACAUCCCUCCUGAGAGAUUCCUCAGAUCUCACUCACACGGCUCUCCAUAUCUUGGGUGUGACAGAGCCAGUGUGACCAAUUUCCAGGAUACAUAAGUUCCCCAGAAAGAAGUACAUGGGGGUGUGUAGAGAUGGACGGGUGCAGAUAGCAAAGGCUAUGAGAGCAGAAUGAGGGUGAACAGAGGAAGCAUUCUCCAGGGACCUCACAGUUCUUGGCAAUUGCAAAGCAUUUGACAGACAAGCCCUUUUCCUGCCACAAAGAGCAAUUGACACACUUGACACUCAUCUCCUGGAAGACAGAGCAGUAAGCAAUUAGUAGGAUUCUUGCAUAUGAGAGAUAUUGAUUUUUUAGUAUUUUAGAGGCUCAGUUACAUCAGAGUCAAAGUCUUUGUCUGCAGUCACAAAAAUCAAAGCUUAGAAAAGAUUUUUUCUCACAUAAUUUCAUAUCUAAUGCUUUCUCUCUUAACACCAGGGGAUUUUCAAAGUGUGCUAAGCAUUGAGCCAAGUGUACAAAUACUUACAAUAGAAGGUGGAAACAUGCAGUACUGGCACUAAUGAAGCUCAGGCAGAAGGUUUACCUUGGGUUUAAGUUCAGUUUCACAUGCUGUGUAAGCAAUCAUUCAAACGAAGGAAAAGAAAACCUUGAGUGUAUCUCGAUUUUUACCCAUUCUUAUCAUUAACUAGUUAUCAAUGUUAUACAGAAAAACAGAUCAACCCACUCAUCUCUAUGCUUUCGCGUUGCCACAGGUAUAGUCUCUCCAACCACCCUGUGCGUGUGUUGGGCCCCGAUUAUUCUGUGAUUGCUAUUAUGAAUAUUCAAACCCACACAAUAAAGGUAUCAUUUCCUCAAGACUCAUUAUUUUUGAAGAUUAAGUAAAAUCAAAUAAUCAUUUGAUAAAUAAAUGAUUACUGGUUUUAAUACAUAGACUUAAAGGGAAGGCACAUCUCGAUGUCUGCACAGUAACGAGGUCGUCAGAGAAGAUUUUUAAGAUGUGUACAGUGAGCCAUGAAAGUGAAGAAGGAUCAAGCAAACAACACCAGACCCCUUCAUGCCACAACCUUCAAUAUGACAGCUGGUAUCUGUAACUUAAUAAUUACUGUCUCUUUAUAGAAUACGUUUUCUUAGCAGGAGUAUUACUGUGUAGGCUUUAAAUGUGUGUUUUCUUAAUAUUGUUCAUGAUAUUCUAUCAAUCAGACUAUUGAUUUAAAUAAAGAAAAAAAAGAUGUAUUGUCUGGAUA
ensembl:lncRNA